GGGUCGAUGGUCUAGUGGCUAUGACGCCGCCUUGACGUGGCGGAAAUCGCAGGUUCAAUUCCUGCUCGACCCA
rnacentral:tRNA from 1 species